ACUGGCAUUGUUGACAGUAGACUACUGGAGCACAUUUGUAGACAGAAAAACAUUUGGCGACAUUACCCUUACAUCAUUCGUUUCUUAGUGGGAACACAUCUACUUUUUCCGCUUAAUGUUAUUGAUCCCGUUGACCAAGUCGGCACAUUUUUUCUGUCGUGUCGACUACCAAAGAAGAAUUUAAUGUCUACUACACAGAACAGCGGUCAAGAAAUUUUUUAUUUCGACUUCGGUGAAAUUCUUCAAGAAUUUAUAUUUCUACGUCUCAUCGCUAAAUGUUGUGAGGUGUUUUACUGGGAUGAGAUCUUUUAUAAUUCAGCAAGAUUUAGGACAGGUAAAUCAUAUCUUUUCUUCAUCAGUACAGAGGUAAUUUCUGGAAACAUUAAUUCAUACGACAGAAAUCUUAUCAAAGUUGAAAUUAUAAGUGAAGACAAAACUCAGACUAUGUGCGUUCUACAGAAACUGGUUCAUUUUAUUGAAGAAAUAAUAAAUCGGAAUUUCAACCUGGAUUACUUUAGGAAACAGUAUAUUUAUGGGCCUGUGUGCGAGAGUUGUAGUUCCUUAGAUGGAACAAUGUGUUUGGUGAACCUCAUUACUCAUGGAAACGAUAUAUCUACACUGGAUGGCUAUAAACCAGAUAUUUACCAUACGGUCACAAUUGAUCUAAAGUUGAGUAUGACGUGCAGUCGAAUAAUAGACAACCAGGUCUGAGGUUAUUAUUUAGCUACAAAAAACGGCAAUAAAAAUUGCAAUGCCCAACAAACUGCUACACUAAUGCGACUUCAAGAUGGACCACAAUAGUAAAAAAAAAAAUCGAGAUUAUAAUUUUUUAUGGAAUGGCUGUGAACGUACUGAAUCUGCCUAAACUUUUAGGCCCAAUCUUCCUUUAGUAACCGGGAAUGUUACAAACGCAACCAGCUUCAACAUAGAUUCAUUGCUAGGAAAACAUUGAAGAACCUUGACAACGCCAUCAUCAAGUUAAAUGGAACACUGUAAAUUCUCUGUCAACUUGAUCAAUAUAAAAGGUACAGAUAUCCAGUACUAAAAGUUACUGAAUCAUCAAGGCCUAUUACUGGAAUGAGUGUAUACUUAAUCUUGGGUUCUUUAAUCCUAACUCUAUAUUUGAUAACCAAUUCUGAAAGCGGCAGAAUUUAAGAUAGACCUACUCUUUUGUUUCAUAUCAGUUCCACUAAACAGCCAAUCAAUGUUGAUCUUGAGCUUCUGUUAGGAGUCUAGGGUAGGUCUAUAUUGAUAUUGGGUCGUAAGUAUUGAAAGUUGGGUAAAAUGAAAAUUGUAAAAAGUUUGAGUAAGUGAUUGUAUAAUAAGUACCAUACAACAAUGUAGUGAUCAUGCCAGGACAAUAUGGAGAAUCAAUAUCAAUCAAGAGAAACCAAAGGAGAGCGGCUCGUAUUGUAACAAACAAUUUUGAAUCCAUUAAUGUAAGGGGUGGUAAUAUCAUUCAGGCCUUGUCAUGGCAAACAUUCGAAUAAAGAAAAGCGUUUUCGUUGGCAUGAUUAAGUUCAGUGCAUCUAUGGCCUUACGCCACAGAGACCUGUUUAUAAAGCUAAAAUGAUUAGUGAUAAACAUAAAUUCCUCAUUCGAAAUUGUAGGAGCCAAAAUGUAGAACAACUUGCCUGUAAAUCUAUAAUUACUACAGUCAAUUAACUCCUUUAAAGCCAGGCACCGAAUGAAAAAAGGUUUGAUGUAAUCAUGGAAGUUCUUCUGAAGACACGAAGAGCAUGUUUCACGAAAACUUGGUAGCUGAUAAUGAGAAACAGAUAUUAAUAUAUUUAAAAACUGUGGGGAAAAGGGGUUUACACCCCUUUUCCAAAGUUUUUAAAUACCUCCCUAGUUUUUCGUCAAAUCUGAGAACUAUACACGGAGAUUGGAAACGCGACUCGAUUCUAUUGUUCUCUAGUUUGUGAGGUCAUGCAGUGCAUUGAUAUGCAAAUAAGGUUGUUGGAACCGCAAGCGAGCAUCUUUCCGCACACAAGACUAGUGGAUACUUUCGUAGCGAUAUUGGACGUACUGUAUUAUAUUUGUUUAAAAAUGUUUAAAGUUUUACUUUGGCAAUUCCUUUAAAAGGUAAUGAUGACGUUGAUGAUUAUUGGUUAAUGCUUGGCUCUAUGAUGAACUUGAAUAUGAUGAUUAUAAUAAUUGAUCGUGUUUGACAUAUCAGUAAUUGCGAAUGGAUUGUGAUAUGAUUGAAACUAUUGUACUUGGUAGCAUCGUUUUGAAGAAAUGGAGAGAACGAGGACAUCACACUCAUUCAGUUUUAAAGGAAAGGUUUUUUUCCCCACAAAGACACCAUUGCAGUUGGCAAAGAAUUCAAUCUUUUGUUACUGUUUAUAAGCGCUUAUUAUCAGGAAAUCAUCGCAUAUAAAUACAAUAAUUGCAUCUUUCUUGAGGUUUGAACUUAAUGAUGAUCUACUUAAUUAAAAUUUAAUUGAAUUUCUGAAGUUUUUUAUUUGUUUUUCGGCAGACAAUAUAUCUUAUAAACAAACUAAAAUAAUCAAAUCAAAGAUAUACUUUAACUAUUAUCAUUGAUUAGUAUAUUUUGGUAUUUAAAAGGGACUUUAAUAGUUUGGUCUGAUAUAACAGGCGUGUCUUUCAACCAACUACUAUUCCCCCUAUUUUCUGCAUGUACAGUAAAUGAAACCGUAUCGAAAUUAAAAAGAUUGUCAAACUUGAUUUUUACCUGAUUUUUUUUAGCAUGCCUUACAUGAGAUGCAAGCCAUCAUUACAGGUUGCAACCAAGUUCAUCACUAAUGGCACAUGUAAACAUAUUUCACA